rnacentral:rRNA from 1 species
AACGUAGGUGGCGAGCGUUAUCCGGAUUUACUGGGCGUAAAGGGUGUGCAGGCGGGCUGUUAAGUGGUGUAUGAAAUAUCCCGGCUCAACCGGGAAGGGUUAUGCCAGACUGGCAGUCUAGAGAGCGAGAGAGGGACGUGGAAUUCCGGGUGUAGUGGUGAAAUGCGUAGAGAUCCGGAAGAACACCUAUGGCGAAGGCAGCUCUCUGGGACGGUACUGACGCUGAGACGCGAAAGCGUGGGGAGCGAACAGG